AACGAACGCUGGCGGCAUGCCUAACACAUGCAAGUCGAACGAGACCUUCGGGUCUAGUGGCGCACGGGUGCGUAACGCGUGGGAACCUGCCCUUAGGUUCGGAAUAACUCCCCGAAAGGGGUGCUAAUACCGGAUAAUGUCUUCGGACCAAAGAUCUAUCGCCUUUGGAUGGGCCCGCGUUGGAUUAGCUAGUUGGUAGGGUAAAAGCCUACCAAGGCGACGAUCCAUAGCUGGUCUGAGAGGAUGAUCAGCCACACUGGGACUGAGACACGGCCCAGACUCCUACGGGAAGCAGCAGUAGGGAAUAUUGGACAAUGGACGAAAGCCUGAUCCAGCAAUGCCGCGUGGGUGAUGAAGGCCUUAGGGUUGUAAAGCUCUUUUACCCGGGAUGAUAAUGACAGUACCGGGAGAAUAAGCGCCGGCUAACUCCGUG
rnacentral:rRNA from 1 species